AGUUGCCAGCAUCGUUGGGCACUCUAGAGGGACUGCCGGCGACAAGUCGGAGGAAGGUGGGAUGACGUCAAAUCAUCAUGCCCUUAUGACCUGGGCUACACACGUGCUACAAUGGAUGGUACAGAGAGCAGCGAGGCAGCGAUGUGGAGCGAAUCUCAAAAGCCAUUCUCAGUUCGGAUUGGAGUCUGCAACUCGACUCCAUGAAGUCGGAAUCGCUAGUAAUCGCGAAUCAGCAUGUCGCGGUGAGUGCGUUCCCGGGCCUU
rnacentral:rRNA from 1 species